rnacentral:piRNA from 1 species
UCACAGAGCAAGAGGUGUGUGGAUCCCUCAUU